AGCGCGGUCUGUCGAGCCGAGUGCCCACGACAGUAUUGUGAACUAGUCCUAUAUUUAUUAUUACCCACGUGAUAUUGUUUCUGUGAAUAGGAAGAGGAAAGCACUGAAGUCUGAGUAUCAUCAUUACUUAUUUAACCUUGUAAGCCAUCUUCCAUACCAAGAAUGGGCUACGCCACCGAUAUUGAUGUUCCAGAAGAAACACAGGAGCCAUUUGAUACGGAAAUUGUUAAGGAACUAGAAAAUGUGCCUACUAAAAGUAUUAUUGGCAUGCCACGGCCCACGAGGGUCCCAGACGGUUCGCCACCGGAGGGCGACGAUCCUAAUGACCCCGUAAACGUGGACACUGCGAAAGAUUAAAGAAAA